GAUGAAGAACGUAGCGAAAUGCGAAAAGUAAUGUGAAUUGCAGAAUUCAGUGAACCAUCGAAUCUUUGAACGCACAUUGCGCCCGCUGGAACUCCGGCGGGCACGCCUGUCCGAGCGUCAUUUCAACCCUCAGGCCCCCCUUCGCGGGCGGGCCUGGUGUUGGGGCCCGGCCGCUACCCUGCGGCCGUCCCCUAAAUUCAGUGGCGGCCUCGCCGUGAUCCCUUGCGUAGUAAUGCACCUCGCACCGGAGAGCGCCGUGGCCACGCCGUAAAACCCCCAAUUUUCAAUGGUUGACCUCGGAUCAGGUGGGAAUACCCGCUGAACUUAAGCAUAUCAAUAGCGGAGGA
rnacentral:misc_RNA from 1 species